CCUACGGGAGGCAGCAGUGGGGAAUAUUGGACAAUGGGGGGAACCCUGAUCCAGCCAUGCCGCGUGUGUGAAGAAGGCCCUCGGGUUGUAAAGCACUUUCAGUGAGGAAGAACGCCUGGUGGUUAAUACCCAUCAGGAAAGACAUCACUCACAGAAGAAGCACCGGCUAACUCCGUGCCAGCAGCCGCGGUAAUACGGAGGGUGCGAGCGUUAAUCGGAAUUACUGGGCGUAAAGCGCGCGUAGGUGGCUUGAUAAGCCGGUUGUGAAAGCCCCGGGCUCAACCUGGGAACGGCAUCCGGAACUGUCAAGCUAGAGUGCAGGAGAGGAAGGUAGAAUUCCCGGUGUAGCGGUGAAAUGCGUAGAGAUCGGGAGGAAUACCAGUGGCGAAGGCGGCCUUCUAGACUGACACUGACACUGAGGUGCGAAAGCGUGGGUAGCAAACAGGAUUAGAUACCCCAGUAGUC
rnacentral:rRNA from 1 species